rnacentral:rRNA from 1 species
GUAUUACCGCGGCUGCUGGCACNGAGUUAGCCGGNGCUUCCUUUANUGGUACCGUCAAACACUACCGCUAUUAACGAUAAUGCAUUUCUUCCCACUUGACAGANCUUUACGACUCAAAAGCCUUCAUCACUCACGCGGCGUCGCUGCGUCANGGUUGCCCCCAUUGCGCAAAAUUCCUCACUGCUGCCUCCCGNANGAGUNUGGNCCGUGNUUCAGUUCCAGUGUGGNGGAUCAUCCUCUCAGACCCGCUAACCAUCGUAGCCUUGGUAGGCCAUUNCCCUACCAACUAGCUAAUGGUACGCAGACUCAUCCUCGUGCGAUUGCUUAAAUCAGAGGCAACCUUUCUUCUUCUAAAUUUGCAUCCAAAAGACCGUAUUGGGUAUUAGCUGGACUUUCGUCCGGUUAUCCCCAACACAAGGGUAGAUUAUCUACGCGUUACUCACCCGUGCGCCACUUUACUUGAUCAACCGAAGCUAAUCGUUCUCGUUCGACUUGCAUGUGUUAAGCACGCCGCCAGCGUUCGUUCUGAGCCAGGAUCAAACUCUAAGGG